ACGCUCGACACCUACGGAGGCAGCAGUCGGGAAUAUUGCGCAAUGGAGGAAACUCUGACGCAGUGACGCCGCGUAUGGGAAGAAGGUUUUCGGAUUGUAAACCAUUUUAGACAGGGAAGAAAAAAGACAGUACCUGUAGAAUAAGCUCCGGCUAACUACGUGCAGCACGCCGCGGUAAUCUGAGCGGGCUGGCAAGGC
rnacentral:rRNA from 1 species